rnacentral:rRNA from 1 species
UACGUAGGUGGCGAGCGUUGUCCGGAUUUAUUGGGUUUAAAGGGUGCGUAGGCGGCUUUGUAAGUCAGUGGUGAAAUACUCCAGCUUAACUGGAGGGGUGCCAUUGAUACUGCGGAGCUUGAGUACAGAUGAGGUAGGCGGAAUUGACGGUGUAGCGGUGAAAUGCAUAGAUAUCGUCAAGAACACCGAUAGCGAAGGCAGCUUACUGGGCUGUAACUGACGCUGAUGCACGAAAGUGUGGGGAGUCAAACAGGA